rnacentral:rRNA from 1 species
CUUAUAACUAUCACGACGCCCAAAAGUCGUGGCUUGGGUUUUGCCAGCUGGCGUGAUCUCCUCUAUGAGUAAUCAUGUGAGGUGCCAGAUCUAUGGCGUUUCCCUAAUGUAUCCGGAUGCACCCUUGUCUUGGCAGAAAGCCGUGGUGAGGUGCAGUGGCGGAAUCGUGGUUUAAUAAUCGGGUUGGUACUCAGUUGUCAGUGUGUUUGGCGAUCCCCUAGUCGGCACACUUAUGAUUUCUGGGAUAAUUCCAUACCAGGCACGUUCCGUCACUGUCACUUUGUCAUUGGUUUGAUGCUGAACUUGGUCAUGUGUCUGAUGCUAUUUUCAUAUAGCGACGGUACCCUUCGUGGUCUGUCUUCCUGACCUCGGUUCAGACGUGAUUACCCGCUGAACUUAAGCAUAUCA